CUCUUGCAUGCCAUUUGCAUGAUGAGUUUAUGAUCUGGUAAAAGGUGUGGGAUUUAUGACCAUCUUCUCAUUUUGCCAUUUGCAUGGACUUAAAGUGCAGUGCAUGUUUUUCUACUGUUAAACUAAAUGGAUUGUAUACACAUAAGAGAAAACAAAUAUCCAUCUAUCCAGUCUUUAAAAACUUCUUCCACAGUCCAUUGUCAUUUUUACUGUUUGCAUUUUUACAAUAAACGCUAUACUUUACUUUUUAAACUCCGCUUUGACUCAUUCGGCAGGUUUAACAGGUUAGAAAUGUUUUUUUUUCAAAACCACAACGACUCACAUCAGGUCUCGCCACAGUCUCUAAUAUUAGACAUUUUAUUUUGGUUUUAACUCUUGUUUUACUUUGUAAGUUUCACAGCUUUUUAGAACUAUUUAAAUUUUUUUGGUGCAUAUGUGUUUUUUCCGGGGGGCUCAUUUGUCACCCCCCCGUCUAUAAAAAGCACACCGCACAGUCACUCGUGUGUGGAAGGAAAAGCCACAUCCAGAUGCUCAGCAGAGGGGGGGGGGGGGGUGGGGGGGGGGAGGAGAUGGGGGUGUUUUUGUGGAGGAAUGGUGGCCCCUAAACCGCCCCCCCCCCCUCCCUCCCGGUGCAUUUUUGCCGUGGCCAAGCACGUCUCCAUGGUGCGCGCCGUGAAAGGGAGCUCACACAAGUGAAUGACGGCGCAGAUGAGGAUGAAUCUGGGAGAUGAUGAGCAGGAGAAGUAGAAGGGGGGUGGGAUAGGGGGGGGGGGGUGACUAGUCGACCCCCCCCCUCCCCACGACAACAUGAAGCUCUUCUUUGUUGGGCCAAAUUCUCCAUAGUGUCAAUUUAUAGUUUCUUGCAUGACAUGACUUGACAUCAGGUCACCAUGCAGGAUGUGAGCAAAGAGGGGAAGGCAAGCAGGCAGUGUCCUCCACCCUCAAAGAUGAUUUCUUUUCCAGUCGCAUGGCUGAAAUUUCCAUCUUGAGUUGUGAGCAAAAACUCCUUAUGGUGGCAGCAAGCAGAAAAUAGAAUUAUUUAACCUAGAACUUACAAAAGUCAGUUGGAUUAAUGCUCAUGCAAACUUCCAUCAGUGUGAUCACCAAUGAUGAAGCAUCGCAUGUAGACAGGCAAUGUGAGUCACAGUUUCCUCCGUGAAAAUGACUCACUGUUGAGUGAAAUAAUAACCGAAUUUGGGUCAAAAAGGGACCUGCUCCCUACCUGGGUCAAUUUGACCCACCUUUCUGGGUCAUUUUGUACAAAGCAACUGAUUUGGGUUUUUUUUUCAACAAAACUUUGGUUAUUUAUGUCCCACCUGUCUUUAGAAUGAUUACAGCCACUUUCUGAGUCGCUUAGUAGCGAAACUCUUCUUCAUUUAUUAUGAGUGUUCUAUAUGCUGCCCUCUGGAGGACAAGGCACACACACCAGAAGAAGAGCAAGCUCAAUGGGUUUCAUUUUUUAGAUUCUAUUUAGUUCAUACUAUUUUUGUUUUUAAUCACUACACUGGUGUGUUUUUGUUUUUAAUCAAUUCAAUAAUUAAUUUUGUUUUAUUUUUCAAUGAAUUAAACUUAAGUCAAGGCUGUAAUAACUCCUAGCAGCAACUAGAACAUUAAAAAUAGCUUUCCACAGGUAAGUUUAAAGUAUCACUUUUGUUGAAAGAAUCUCAUAAGAUAUUUAAAGUGAAUUGCUCACCCCCUCCCAAAUCACUUUCCUUUCUGUGUUUACAUUUUUGAAAUCCUCCAAUAGAUAAUUGUGUGUGUGUGCUUGUUCUUUGAUAGACAUCCAUAAUAGGCCCCCAAAUAUGCAAAAAAAAGUCCAUUUUUCUGAAGACCAAAUAUGCGCUUUUCAGGUAACUUUUCUCGCUUGUUUCUUUUUUUUUUUUUUUUGACUAAUGAACUCCGGCUACUCUGCCAGCAUUCCCUGGAGGGCUGAAGAAGGGGGAGUGUUGUGGGUGCUGCCGGGCUGUGUGUACUUCCGUCGCGGUGGGUAUGUAUGCAAGAGUACACCACACCGGCGCCUCCCCGAAGCCUUCCUGGUCCACCUGUGACGCCACGAAGCCUGCAUGUCCAUCCUCUCUGUGCCGAGGAGGCUCAAUCUUCUACUUUCAAUUCAAGGGUCGGGUGAAGAUAAGCAGAGGAAUUUCAGGCCGGUGAAUAUGGAUUGGGUCUCUACUUAUAGAGAAGAGCACUGAUAGAGAGGUCAUCCGUGCGGUGGCUCCAGACGGGCUUCUCGUGGAGGACUGACCAGUCUGAGUGCUUCCUGAGCCCAAGCAGGCGGCGAGAUCCUGUCCAGGUCAAAAAGUGGAGAGGAACACAUUAGCGCCAGUGACAGGCGACCGUCACUCCAGUGUGCAUCCGGCCCGAAUUCCUCACCGAGCCGUCCGGAAAGUUGUGCGUGGCGGGCUCUGACUCACAGGCCUCUUCCAGGCAUUGCACUGACGCGACUUUUGCCCCCGCCAACUUUCGUGAGCGUGAUGACAAUUAUACUGACACACACACACACGAGCAAACAAACACACAUUUGUGAGUAAACAGUAGUUUGUCACACUGGCACAAACACACACAGUCAGGCACCGAGGAGAUAAUGGUGGCCGGAGGGCUCGCUCUUCAACGUAGCCUCGCCCUCCCCCCCACCCUCGGCCAAUGUCUCUGAGGCAGAAAGUGCGCUGGAGUCCUCGCUGUCUGUUACAUUUGAUCACCGUCACCCAGCUGAGACGGACAGUGAACGGCUCAGCUGACGGCUAACAGACGCACACCCACCAACACACACAUGCACGCACACCCACACUCAGCUACUGUGCCAGAGGAUAUUACACACGGCGUCUGACACCUCUAAAUAAGUGUUUACUCUGUGUAGGUCAGAGUGUGUUUGCCUUCACAUCUUAGGCAUAACGGCAUGUGUGUGAGUGUGUGUGUGUGCGCACAGCCGUAUGAAAUCCAUCCAAAAUCCUCCUCUUCCAUCCCUCUCCCGUCUCCCUCAUUAAUUUGUGAGUAAAGAUGGCCCUCACUUUAAAUCCAUGUCGUCACUGUUUGUUGAUGUAUGCAGAUUUCCCCCCCCUCCCAAUGUUAUGAAGAGUAAUAAAAAAUAUUU